rnacentral:lncRNA from 1 species
GUUCUUUUUAGUUUUGAUUUUCGUUUCUGUUUUAAAAACAGAAUAGUUCUGAUUUUAUAUUGCUUAUAACUUUUAUGUUUUAGAUCCAAAUUUGGUGUUUCUUUUUGCAUUAGUUUUAUAAUUUCUUGAAGUUUCUGCUAGUGCAAUUGGAUUUCAUAUUUGAGUUGUUUAAAAUUGAAUUUGAUGAAAUUUGUUCAAAUUAGUAAUUUGGCCAUAACUUGCGCUUUAUAAAAUAUUUUUGAUUGAUUCUUUUUGCUCCUGGUCACUAGGACCUUUAACUAUCCAGUAGUGUUGAGUAUUUUAUUUUCAGUUUAUUUUAAAAUUAGGUUUUUAUCAAAACAGUACGGUUUUAGUUAUAGUUUUGUUUUAUUCUUUUCUUUAUAGUUUUAAUUGUUUUUUUUCUUUUGGUCCUUUUGACAAACUCUUAGUUUUGUUCUGUUGGUCAACAAAAUAAAAUUUUAUAUUAUUUUAAAAUUUUAUUUUAUUUAGUUUUCGUAUGAAAACUUGUUUAGGUCAUAGUUAGUGUUUCAUAAAAGCUUUUUAUUUGUUUCCUUUUACAAAUAAAUUUUUAUGAAAAAUACUUUCUGUUAACUUAGUUGUUUUAUUUUUUAUUUUCUGUUAACUUAUUAGUUUAGUGUUUUAUUUGUUGUUAAGUUUUACUUAGGACAACUAUUUUGUGUUAUGUCUUAGAGUUUUCUUUAGUAGUUUCGUGGUGUGGUUUUCCUUUGUUUUUAUUUGGUGUCCCUUGUUGAUUUGCAUUUUAUUUGUGGGUUUUAUUAUGAGUGUUAGAAUUACUUGCUAGUAUGUUUGCUUAUAUGAAUGUUAUGUUUGACUAUAUAGAUUUUCAACGGAGUGACGAAUAGUUCUACCAAGUCAUUAUUCUGAGAGUGUUGUUAUCUUCAUCAAGUAAUACCAGGCAAGUUCACUUUGACCAUGUUUUUCAUACCUAUGUUUUUAUUGCAUUUAGUGUCAUCUUUGCAACAAUCCCUCCAGUAGUGAUAUUGAAUUCUUGUAGUUGAUUAGUAAGCAUGAGGUAGGAACCCAUCACCCUGUUACCAAGCCCGGGACGUUAUUUAUUUUAAUGCUAUGCUAUAGUAGACAGGGUUUGGGACGAGUGCACGAGAGUGGUGUGAAGAAGGAGGACUCUACGUCAAUGACGACAACUCCAUGAUGGCAUCUGCAAGGACUGCAUCUUCAAGGCCUCAAGACUUCAAGACUCGGGCCUCAAGACUUCAAGACUCGAGACAAGAAUUCAAUACACACUACUGGGUGAAGGACGGUUGACGGGCACCCUGGAGAAACCAGUGGAUGGCCGGGAUGCAUGGUGAAGUGCCAUGAAAUCUUGCGGAAAGCUUCACCUAGACUCAAAGAGACGGAAGAAUACUUCGUGCCCGGAAGCUUACCUGUGCAACCACAAGUUACUAUGGGCUCUGGCUUGGUUGACCUUAGUUGUGACUCUGGCUGGGACGGUGCUAGCAGAUGUAAAACUACGGUAGGAUUGGAUGAGCACCGGACAGUGGUCAGAGGAACUCUUUGGAAGACCAUGUUUCGGUCAUCUUGUUCUCAAACACCCUGAAGUGCGAGAACGUAAAAAGAGGGAUCGAAUCUUGCGGGUAAAGUGUACAAACCUCUGCAGAGGGUUAAAACCUAAUCGAUUAGCCGUGUCCCCGGUUACGGACAAUUUGAGCCUCUGGACUUGGAUCUAUCUCGAAACUCUCAACACCGGACUGAUAACAUAAUUGUGGGCAACUUAUGAUGAUUUGGGCCAUGAGACAUCGGUUGGCGGAACCAUGUCAUCAUAGGAAACUCCGUGUAUAGACUCCUGAAUUUCUUUGAUGUAGGAAAAAUAAAACCAGCUUUUAUGCAAAACAAAACUCAGACAGAGAGCCACAAAGCCAUAUUGCAUAUAGUAUAGUUUUAUCAUCUGUUUUCUCAUGUUGUGAUCUUGCAUGUACAUUCAAUGUACUGACCUACAUGGCUGCAACGUAUCAUGUUGCAGAUACUUUCUUCCAACAAGUAAGACUACGGUACAGGGUUACGGUCUACACUCAACCUGCCGAUGGCGUUAAUGGGACUCCACACCCGACUAUUUGUUUCCGUUGUAACUUAUGAGGUAUAUAUUAGUUUUACGUUAUUUAUACAUGUGAUUGCACUUUGAUAUAUACAUUGAUGUACUGUGUGUGCCAGCAUACUGAUCCAGGGAUGCCACAGAAACACAGAGGCUUGACCGUCUGAGGUCGGGUCGCUAUAGAUAUGGUAUCAGAGCACAUGUUGACUAUAGGACGUGACCCUAGAAAUUGGAAAGCCACUAGGACAGGAAAUCUCUAAAAUUUUACUUUUAAAAAGACCCCUACUUCUCAUCUUUUCUGAUUUUAUCAAAUAGUCCCUCUUACCUCAAAUAGUUAGAACAUACCAUAUCCCCUUUUGACCACUCGGAGGAUCAACUGAAGCCACUCCAUGAAGGACUAGAUAUCGGACAACUGAUAACCACUUCAGAGUAAAGAGGAUUUCAUCAUUUGAAGACUCCGAAGACUCGAAGAAUUUGAAGACUAAAGAUUUAUUUGACCUUUAGAAGACCAAACUCCUGUUAUAUACUUACGUUAGAUGCGACGAUUUGUGAGCUGUCAUUUGUUUGUUGUUUUUCCGACAGCCACAAAAAUAAAACCGGUUUCUUCAAAACUAUUGUUUGUAUUGUGUGUAUCCCUCCCCACCUCUCUCAUAUCUCACCCCAAAACCCUUGGAACCAAUAGAUGAAUGAAGAUGGACUUGUGUUCUCUGGACCGAUGACUCAGUUGGAGGCAGAGCUAUGGACUCAGAACAUGGAGAAUCACUUUGGGAGCAAUUUGGUUUCAAGGAAGAAUGAAGUAUCGCACGCUCUUCAGUACUUUGAAGGAAGUGCUGCAACAUGGUGGCAGAUGCAUCAAGCCAUACAAGGAUGGAAUGGAGCAAAGACUUGCAAGAAUUCAAGAAGACUCUCACAAGAUCUCGUCUUAUCCGGAAGCACCAUGAUAACCCGAAGAAGAAACCUUGUGCAUGCAAGAUUUGCAGAGAAAUAGGACACACCCAGGAGGAACACAAGGAUGGAUGCCCUCAUUGUGAGGAGAAUCACCCAGCUGAAGAAUGCCCGACUGGGCAGGUUAUUUGUUUCCUGUGUGAAGGAGUUACUCAUUUCCCGGCUCAGUGCCAAAUUUACCCCAAGGUACAGGAAAUUACCAAGCAGCAGAAAGAAGCCCUUAGGAAAUGUUUGGAAGAAUCCAUGAUGGAGGAAGUCAUUGCUAUUCAUGUGGACAAAAAGAAGGACAUUAUUCCCAGUAUUGCACGAAGGAAAGAGAAGAGUAUCUCGGAGACUUCCCGACAGCAGAAGUGAAGUUUGACCCUCGGGAAAUAGAAUCUCUGAUCAUUACGGAGAAAUCCAGGAAGAGGAAACGAAGGCAUCCCCAGAACAACCCAAUUUCUGUAGAGAAGGACCUGAGUAAUAUCACUUGUUACAGGUGCAAGGAUUUAGAUCAUUACGCUUGUAAAUGUCCAGAGAAGAAGCCAAGAACCCAAAGAGUAGACGCCAUCUCCAAGAAGCCCAAAGACUUAUCAAAAGUUAUUUGUUUUCAUUGCAAGGAAGCAGGAAAUUAUGCUACUAAAUGUCCCGACAAGAUGAAAGCUGGAGCUGAGUAGUUGGAAUUUUGAUAUUGGUAGUAAGUGCAGUAGAAAGUAAUUUUAUUUUCAUGAGUUCGAUGAGUUGGAUUAUGUAAUGGAAGUCUCAGAGUUUGUAAUGGAUUCAUGAAUCAAUAAAGUUAAUGUGUUAUGAUUUCAUAUGUUGAAUUAUAUGAGUUGUUACUCCAUGAAGAAAGACCUUUGACCAUUUUCGAGGAUAUGAGAAAAUAUGGUCCAUGGAAGAAUUUGUGCAUUUCAAGGGUUAGUACCCUAUGAGGACACUCACAAAUGGAAAGUAAAAUGUAUUCCGCAGAGUGGAGUCUGGACAAUAGGAGUAUGAGUUUUAUUCCGAUACAUUGAUUGCACCAAGAGUAUGAAGGAAUGAAGUAUUAUCGGAAUUAAAUGGAGGUGUAAUGUUGGAAUAUGGAAUAAUAAUCCUCGAAAGGAUGAGUUAAAGAUGUCCAAGUGUUGAAUUGGGCCCACAACCCACAGGCUCAGGAAUUUAUAAGGAAUCAAGGACUCCCUGGAAGAAGAAAUUCCAUCAGCAGACGUUUCAUAGGAGGUUAGCAAAAAUCCAAGAGUGGUGAAGAAAUGAUAGAUGUCUUGCUCAGCUUGCAGAACCAAUGGAUUUACCCGAACCAUGUUCGAGGAUAAGAGAAAUUCUGCAAUGCUUGUGAGGAUGCCCAAGUGAUAGAAUAUGCGAUUCACUGUCAGUUUAUGAAGUAAUGGUUCGAGUACGGGAUGGAUUGGCCCCCAUACCGGACACUUCUAUCAUAAACUAUCAUAUGUUGAUGGAAAAUCAAAGAGACUUGAAAUCCUUAGAAGAGCGUCGAAACGACAAGCCAAACAACCUUAGAAUGGUAGGACGAUUGAUCCAUGUACAGGCAACCACUGCCAACCGUAGGUUACACGGUGAGAUUCAACCCAGACCAUUUCCUGCAGCAAAAACCAGAAAUUGUUGACCACCAUGAGAUUAUCGAUAGCUGUUUAGUAAUGGCAACAGACCUGCCAGUGAAGAAGACCCAGUCUCGGAAGAACCUCACCAGGAUGAAAGGACACGUGUUUGAGGAAAAGGUUUUGACCCUACCGGAAGAGCCCCAGUGUAGGAGUUACUCCGAAGAUGUGAGAAGACCGAUAGUGUUCACACUAAGGAUGGAGUACAUAAGAUCUGUUGGAACCAUAGCCCUGUUUUUAAGUGUGGUAGCACACUAGACCUUUCCGAUUGAUGGAUUUGCUAGAAGACCCCCAAACCCUAACCUUUCUUGCUAGCCUAUUCGAAUCUCAAGGACGAGAUUCAUUUUAAGUGUGGUAGGUUUGUAACAUCCCAAAAUUCUAAAUUUUGGAAUGUUAUAUUAAAUAAAUUAUUAUGAUUGUUUGUUUGAUAGAUUGACUGAAAGUGAGUGAAAUUUGAAACUUUUGAAAGUCGAAUGAGAGGGAAUGAAAUGACUUUCCCAAACUUUCAUCCUUGCAUUUUAUCCCAAUGAAUUCAAAUUCAUUUCAACACAAAACCCUAGAGUAAAGAUGACAUGACUUCUUCCAAUUGAAAUCAAAAGGGUUUUUGAAAAGAUUUGAAUUCUAUUUCGAAAUAUUUCAAAUUAUAAAACUUUAUGCAACUCAAUGAUUUUCUUGAGGGAAGAUAAAAUGACUUCUUCAAUUAUAUGCAACACGAGUUGGAAGUUACAAAGAAUCAAAUUGAAAGUCAUUUGGAAGUAUUUUGAAACUCCCUUUCAAUUUGGAAUUAUUUGGAUUUUAUUCAAAUUAUUUUCUCCUAAAAAUAAAUAAAUGGAAACCAGGGUAAAAUGAUUCGCUUCAAUGGAAAAUUAGGAGAAAAUAAAUUUGAAAUCAUUUUGGUAUUUUAAAAAUUAUUUUUAUUGAGUUUUAUUGCAAUAGCAGUGUUGUUUGAAUUCUUUUCUGAUUUUGUGUGAAUUUUGUUUGAACUUUAGAAAUAGUCCAUGCUAUAGGAAUUUUUUUUUGAAAAUUUUGAUAUAUUAUAUGUCUAUGUAUAAAUUCAGUUCUUUUACUUUUUCUAUUAGUUUUAGUCUCUGCUAAAAAAAGGGGGAAACCCGAGGCACGACCAGGCCAACCGGACCAGCCAGCCACCCGACGCGGCCCACCAGCAAGCCGAGCCGGCCUGCUCCACCCGCGCCGCGCCCGAAUCCCCCUCCCUCGGCCACCCGAUCCCUUUCCCCUCUCUCUUCUCUCGCUGACGCGUGGGACCCGCCGUCGCCUUCCUCCUCCCGCACGCAACGGCCCGAGCCGGAUCGCGCCGCCGCCACAGUAUCCCGGAUCUCUUGGGAUCGAGAAUCCCCUCGCCCAACCCCUCCUCCAAGUCUCUGGGCUAUAAAAGCCCCUCCCUCUCGUCCGAUUCCCCCCUAAAGCCCCCUACCCCUCUCUCUCAUCUUGCUGGAAUUGCUCGCCGGAGCCCGAGCUCCGCCGCCCACCAUUGCUACUGCAGCGCUCCACCCCGACCACCUCGUCGCCGUCUGAACCCACGACCGACCCCUCCUCGCUCACCGGCACCUCCCCAACCCCUCGCCCAAGCUUCAACGCCUCCAGAACGAGCUCGCCGUCGACCACCGAACGUCACCGCCGCCGUCGAGAUUGCCCCGCUCGAGUCCGUCGUCCCCGACCCUCGUCGACUCCGCCCACGUGGUUGUUGCUGUCGUCCGCAUCUCCUGGAGCCGCCGCCGUUGCCGGAGGACCACCGGAGCAGCUCGGUGCAUCGACCCGAGCCGCCGGAACCUCGCCGGAGUCACCCCGCCGCCGCGGUGAGCUCUCUCUCCCUCCUCAUCCGUCCGAUCUACUUUAUACGACCCAGAUUAGAUUAGAAUCGAACAAUUAGGUUUUUUUAUUAGAUCGGUUUAGGUCUAGUCGUUUUAGCCGAUCGGUCUUUCUGUUUUAGCCCGUACACGUUUGUGUUAUUUUACGACCGAGCGCUAGAUAGUUCAGAUCGCCCACCACCCUGGCCCGAUAGCAGUAGGCCACGUAGCUAGUGCCCGAUUGUUUUUUUUGUUUUGAUUUUCGUUUCUGUUUUAAAAACAGAAUAGUUCUGAUUUUAUGUUGCUUAUAACUUUUAUGUUUUAGAUCCAAAUUUGGUGUUUCUUUUUGCAUUAGUUUUAUAAGUUCUUGAAGUUUCUGCUAGUGAAAUUGGAUUUCAUAUUUGAGUUGUUUAAAAUUGAAUUUGAUGAAAUUUGUUCAAAUUAGUAAUUUGGCUAUAACUUGCGCUUUAUAAAAUAUUUUUGAUUGAUUCUUUUUGCUCCUGGUCACUAGGACCUUUAACUAUCCAGUAGUGUUGAGUAUUUUAUUUUUAGUUUAUUUUAAAAUUAGGUUUUUAUCAGAACAGUAUGGUUUUAGUUAUAGUUUUGUUUUAGUCUUUUCUUUAUAGUUUUAAUUGUUUUUUUU